rnacentral:lncRNA from 1 species
AUGAGAAGCAGGGCUGGCUGCUGCUGGAGUGGAGCCCAGUGCUGUGUUCUCCAGUCCCCCAGACCAAACCACCCCAAAUACCACAGCUGCAUCCUGACAUGGGGAUGAGGGGCAAGCCUAGACACAGCCUUAGGCUUGACAAACUGUCCUUCCAGAGAGAACCCCCUCACUACCCAGUGUGCUUACAGGACAGCAAUGGAGAACGACAGCUAGGAGUAUACAGGAGUCCAAUCUUACAAGCAGGAGGGAUCUGACUGUUGUCAACCAGGUGCUAGAGCUCUGGGCUUCCAGGAAAGGCCAAGACGUUCCCAGAGCAGGAACAGCAGCAUGUGACCGAGAGCCUCCAGCUAAGAUGGCAGCCCAUGUCACAUGGGACCUGUGAGAGCUUAAAAGCACACUGAAGUGGAGGUGACACCCAGGUCUAUCACUCCACAUACCAGGACAAGCUUAGACCUUGCUACGCGGGAGAGAUAGAUGCUGAGUGGUUAAGAGCACAGACUGCUCUUUGCAGAGGACCUGAGUUCAGUCCCCCUACCAGAGCGGCUUUAUUUUCUACCCUCCAUGACCGUGACUGCCAGCUACUAGCCCAUCAAAACGCCAAUCAUUAGCCAAUCAUUAGGAUGAGUGUGUGACCCGCCAAUCCCAAGCAAGGAAGAUGCCAUAACAUUGCUGGUGAAAGAUUAGGCAACUCUUCCACUAGCCAAACUCGCUCCUCUUCCUGCACGAAAAAUAAGCCUCUAGCUGGAGCCAUGUGUGUCUGGAUCCACUCUUAGCUGGGCCUCCUGGGUGCUGUGGAUCCUGUAUGAGACACGUCAUACAUCACUCAUGGUUCCAAGAAGCUCCUGGUUGAAUGGAAGAGAAGGGUGCAGGGGCUUCCCCUGUAGGCUUCUGGUCUCUUGUGCACGCAUGAUACGUAACAGAGACUAAGACCCACCAGAUCCAUGCUACAUGUGGUGUGCAAAAGAUGUCUCAACUGGAACAGAGAAUACUGGAGAUAUAACACAUAGACCCAACCAACCAGCAAGCACACAAAAAUCUUCCAGGGUCAGGAUAUUCCUCUUUGUUGUACAAGAGCUUCAAAGCACAAUGGAAUAUCCUUUCACCCCCUCUGUCACAAGGCGGCUACAAAGAAGAUGAGCACUUUCUUAUAUGACCACACUCACACACUUCAAGUACCUUUUCCCCAAGUGCUUCAUAAAUAAAGCCUUCUGCAGGCAUUUUGAAGCCAA